CAUAAAGUAAUGGAUUGAAAAUUUAAGAUCAAUAUUUAUUUUUUUAAUUCAAAUUAAAUAAACACAUGAAAGCUCAACUUAAGAAAAUCAUAAAACAUUUGAUUAAGAGUUUAAAAUCAAAUUUAAUUUUUCUUAACUCAAAUUAAUUAGUAUUUUUAGUCAAAUUAAAGGCAUAUGAAGGCUCAAAUCAAAAAUUUAAGAUCAAAUUUGAUUUUCUUAAUAUAAAUUAAUUUAAAUUUUUGAUCAAAAUCAAGAUAAUAUUUAGCAAAC
rnacentral:lncRNA from 1 species